AUUGAACGCUGGCGGCAGGCCUAACACAUGCAAGUCGAACGGUAACAGGAAGAAGCUUGCUUCUUUGCUGACGAGUGGCGGACGGGUGAGUAAUGUCUGGGAAACUGCCUGAUGGAGGGGGAUAACUACUGGAAACGGUAGCUAAUACCGCAUAACGUCGCAAGACCAAAGAGGGGGACCUUCGGGCCUCUUGCCAUCGGAUGUGCCCAGAUGGGAUUAGCUAGUAGGUGGGGUAACGACUCACCUAGGCGACGAUCCCUAGCUGGUCUGAGAGGAUGACCAGCCACACUGGAACUGAGACACGGUCCAGACUCCUACGGGAGGCAGCAGUGGGGAAUAUUGCACAAUGGGCGCAAGCCUGAUGCAGCCAUGCCGCGUGUAUGAAGAAGGCCUUCGGGUUGUAAAGUACUUUCAGCGGGGAGGAAGGGAGUAAAGUUAAUACCUUUACUCAUUGACGUUACCCGCAGAAGAAGCACCGGCUAACUCCGUG
rnacentral:rRNA from 1 species